rnacentral:RNase_P_RNA from 1 species
AACGCAAAACGUUCUAUCGCUGUCUCAUUUAUUUGAGGUAGAGGAAAGUCCGGGCAACACAGAGCAUCCUGCUUCCUAACGGGAAGGCGCCGACAGCCGGCGACAGCAAGUGCCACAGAGAAUAUACCGCCCGCAAGGGUAAGGGUGAAAACGUGAGGUAAGAGCUCACGGCUUUUCCGGGCGACCGGAAUUGCGGUAAACCUCAGGAGUUGAAAAACCAAAUAGGUCCUGAACGCGGAGUUGCUCGCUCCCACUCUUCGGAGAUUUCAGGAUGGGUAGGUUGUUAGAGGUUGUUGGCAACAACAACACCAGAUCAAUGAUAGAAGUUCUGCCUUGUGCGGAAAACAGAACCCGGCUUACAGCUUUGC